rnacentral:rRNA from 1 species
UUACCAUGCAGUCGAGGGGUAUAGUUCUUCGGAAUUAGAGACCGGCGCACGGGUGCGUAACGCGUAUGCAAUCUACCUUUCACAGAGGGAUAGCCCAGAGAAAUUUGGAUUAAUACCUCAUAGUAUAGCAGUUUCGCAUGAAACCACUAUUAAAGAUUUAUCGGUGAAAGAUGAGCAUGCGUCCCAUUAGUUAGUUGGUAAGGUAACGGCUUACCAAGACAACGAUGGGUAGGGGUCCUGAGAGGGAGAUCCCCCACACUGGUACUGAGACACGGACCAGACUCCUACGGGAGGCAGCAGUGAGGAAUAUUGGACAAUGGGCGCAAGCCUGAUCCAGCCAUGCCGCGUGCAGGAUGACGGUCCUAUGGAUUGUAAACUGCUUUUAUACAGGAAGAAAUAGUUCUACGUGUAGAACCUUGACGGUACUGUAAGAAUAAGGAUCGGCUAACUCCGUGCCAGCAGCCGCGGUAAUACGGAGGAUCCAAGCGUUAUCCGGAAUCAUUGGGUUUAAAGGGUCCGUAGGCGGUCAGAUAAGUCAGUGGUGAAAGCCCAUCGCUCAACGGUGGAACGGCCAUUGAUACUGUCUGACUUGAAUUAUUAGGAAGUAACUAGAAUAUGUAGUGUAGCGGUGAAAUGCUUAGAGAUUACAUGGAAUACCAAUUGCGAAGGCAGGUUACUACUAAUAUAUUGACGCUGAUGGACGAAAGCGUGGGUAGCGAACAGGAUUAGAUACCCUGGUAGUCCACGCCGUAAACGAUGGAUACUAGCUGUUGGGCGCAAGUUCAGUGGCUAAGCGAAAGUGAUAAGUAUCCCACCUGGGGAGUACUUCGCAGAUGAUCAAAAA